rnacentral:rRNA from 1 species
GACGUAGGGCGCGAGCGUUGUCCGGAUUUAUUGGGCGUAAAGAGCUCGUAGGCGGCUUGUCGCGUCGACUGUGAAAUCCCGCGGCUCAACUGCGGGUCUGCAGUCGAUACGGGCAGGCUAGAGUUCGGUAGGGGAGACUGGAAUUCCUGGUGUAGCGGUGAAAUGCGCAGAUAUCAGGAGGAACACCGGUGGCGAAGGCGGGUCUCUGGGCCGAUACUGACGCUGAGGAGCGAAAGCAUGGGGAGCAAACAGG